GUUCCGGCGACGCUGCCAGUGUGACGUAUAAUCUAGUGGACGGGACGCUACUUCAACAACAACAGCUAGUCAGACACCUCGGUAGCAUCCAAGCCGAAACAUUCAAGCUGUUCAGACUGCUUCGGUGUAUAUUUGCCUCUGUAUUUGAAACAUAAUUAUGUAUUUCAACUAGUUUCCCCUUGAUAAAUUAGCUUUUCACUAGGCUAGUCGCUAACUAGCUAGGUUAGCAGGCUAACAUCACUGACCCUGAGUUCACCAAGCUACUCUCCUCCUGCUGAAGAACAGGAGAUCUGCUGGACGGAGAAAGAAGGUAUUUGGCUGAACAUUGUCGUGAAAGAGGAGAAUGAAGGGGAGGAUGUUACAGUAAACGAAGAAGUAGAGGGUGAGGCUGUUACAGAGAGACAAAAGAAGAAGACUCGUUCAGAGUGAAAGAGGAGGAGGAUGUUACAGUAAAAGAAGAGGAGGAAGAGAGGGAGGAGGAUGCUGUUUUUGGAGUGAAGGAGAUAACUGUCACAUUGAAGGAGGAGAAGGAAGAACAAGAAUAGGAGGAGGAGACAUGCGAUCUGAUUAAGACCAGAGAGAGACCAGACUCUGACAGCGGGAAGAGUUCCUCAGAGGAAACAGACCCGGAGACGCCUAACCAACACCACUGGUCCCACUGUGGAAAGAGUUUUAGGUGGUAUGGGAGCCUGAAAAUUCAAGAGAGAAUACAUCCAGGCGAAAAGCCCUACCACUGUUCCCACUGUGGAAAGAAUUUUACUCAGUUUGGGGCCCUGGUUGGGCAUGAGAGAACACACACAGGAGAGAAGCCUUAUCACUGCUCCCACUGUGGAAAGAGUUUUAGGUGUUUAGAGAACAACUUCAAGAAAACAGCUAGCUACAUUUAGAAGUGUUGCAUUUUGAUUGAAGUGGGUCACCAACAUGGUAAGUGUAACACAACUCUAUUUGUGUUAGUCACUUUUUGCUAAAUCUCAUAAAUAGUACUCUUUCAAUUCAGAGCCUGGAUUUUCCCCCUGAGGCUUAUAUCACGCUGAAAUCAAUUGAAUGGGGAAAACCUUUAGGGUUCUACAUUGUGAAAUUACUUAAAAUACUCCUACUUCAAUGUUAAAACAUUCUACAUUGUGACACUAAUUCAUUGAUAUCACGAAAUAACUCCUUCAUGUACUGACCACAGCUAUAAGGUUUCUCUCCUGUGUGUGUUCUCUGGUGAAUUUUAAUGCCUGAUGAGGUGAAUCUCUUCCCACAGUCAGAGCAGCAGUGAGUUCUCUUCCCUGUGGAUCUCUGCAGGUGUUUGAGGUGUUCUGAUCUGGAGAGACUCUUCUCUGCCUCUUCAGCAUCAUGUGGUUGUUGAGGCUCCCCAGAGGAUCCACAAUAGUCCCGUAUCUCUCCUGUGUGAACAACAAAGUCAGACAGAUGACUAAAGGCCCACAUCCAUUGUAAAAGGUGAUGCAAACAGCGUGGCCAUGAAGUUGUACAGCAAUUGACGUCUGUAAUCAAUGUUAACAUUAUUUGACAAUUGUCUUAAAAUGAGCAAGAAAAGUCAUAUUUUGUCUUGUUUUCACAUUAGUAGUAACAUCGAUGAUUGUCGGCUAGAAAUAGGAUAUUCAUGUUGUUGAAACUCUAAACAGCGUGCCAGACGACUUUGGUCUCCAAGGCCCCCUUCUGUGUUUGCUAAAAUUGCGGCACGAGGGCAAUUUGAUUACAGAAACUCCUACCUGCUAAUGAGGAAGCCGAUAGUUAUGGAUGUACUAUAUCUGCCUGGAGCAAAAAUGGUGAGCAAAGAUUUUAGUUUUUCACAAUGUAUUCUGAAUGUGAAUGGGGGAAAACUCAGGGGAGUAACCUCCAUUUCCAGGUUGCUUAUGAGUGCAUUUCACACUACUUUGGAUUAUAAUUGUAAGGCUCAUUUGAAUGUCCUGUUUAAUAUAAUGUUUGCUACAGUAUGAAUUAUGUGUAAUUAUUGAAGAACCGCGUUAAUGACAGUAUCCAUUUAGGUGUUAUCAAUAAAGUUAAGAUUUAAUUUUU